rnacentral:tRNA from 1 species
GACUUUAUAUAAAAUUGUUUUGAAAGCAAUUUAUAAGAAAUAAUUCUUUAAAGUCA